AUUCUAUAAAGCACGCCGGUCAUUAAGCACGAAUCGCACACCUUCCAUGUAUCAUAUAUGAAAUGUCUAUUUUACCCGCAGUUGGAUCUUCCCUUCCUUGUUCCACCAGAGAUCACCCGUCUUUCUGAUUCUUCCUUUCUUACUCCUUGGUAGAGAUCAGCAUGCGAGAGAUUCCUUUUUUUUUUUUUUUCCUCGAAGGCGUUACAUUGCUUCCUGCAAGUGUUUGAAAGUUUCUUCCUUGAUUGAUGGAAGUUCUAGGGCUUUCUACAAAAAAUUUCUCCGAGAGAGAUUUGACUGAAGGCUCCAAGGACAUUUCUCAAGGCCAAUUUCAGGGCUGAGGAACACACUGCACGCUCAAUCUACCAAAGCCUGGCAAUACAAUAACUUUAGUGCAUUUAACCAUUCUUUCACUACUUGCGGAACACACUGCACGCUCAAUCAAUUCUAAAAACAAAUUCCAGUUCAAUACAAAUUAAAACCAAUCUCCUUGAAUAAUUCCAAGUCAGAGGCGAUCUGCACUAGGCACCUUCCUUUGGGCGAUGGGCUAAUCAAUAGUGCUGGCAAAUUUCUGAAUGUUUCCAACAUUCACCUUCAUUUGGGCGAUGGGCUUCUCAGUACUACGGGAGGUGUGCGACGCAAACGAAAAGGGACUCUCAUAUCCGGGAGGGAGGGCGAACGAUUAUGACUUUUUUUGUUUUUGUUUAGUUUUAUAAUUUUAUUUUAUUUUUCUUUAACUUACUUAUCCAUGUGUUCAUUUCGUGCAUUGUAGAGGGGCUUCCCUGUAGUACUCCUCCAGCACCAGAUGAAAGUUUGACCCAGGUGGUAUUUAUUUCCAUUGCCUCUGCCCUUCUUCUCCUCAUUCAAGUUUCGGGCCUAUGAAAAAAAGGAACACUCGUAUUCACAUCUUCCCCUACACUUUCUCGAGAAACAAACACAUAAUUUCCGAGCUCUUCAUUUCCUUCCCCAUGUUUCACCCUUCAAUUUAUCGGGACUCUCUACAAGGCCGUAGCUGGAGCAUUUUCCUGGUAAGAGGAAACGCCUCUAAAGAAAUUCCCAUCUCUAAUUUCACUCCCUCUGCCCAACUGAAGCUCGGUGGUAGUGGCUCCACCUUGCUUGUUCCAAUCUAUGAGAGCCCAGGAAGUAAGAACCCCAGACUUGCUGAUGACGAAGACCAUUUGAAGAUGAAUCUCGAUAUUUCAUUGAGAGGCGAAGUGCACGUUGUUAUGGAGCUAGGCGCUGGCGGUGAGUUGUUUGACAGAAUUGUUGCGAAGGGCCAUUAUACGGAAAGGGCUACUGUUUUGAUAUGUAGGGCAAUCGUUAAUUUCGUGCAUAUCUGUCACUUUAAGGGUGUGAUGCAUAGGGACCUUAGCCAUCACUAGCUCGUCUUCCGCAUCCAACAUGCGUUCAUGGUCCCGCUCAAUCUCCGACGUUUUCUCAGAGAUCCUCUUGUGCAGAGCACGGUUCUUCUUAUAGGUAAAAUCCCAAAGGCAUUGGGUAAUUUAAAAAACUGUGUAAGCAUGGAUUUGUCUGAAAAUGGAUUUGAAGGAGAAAUCCUAAAAUCUUUAUCAAGUGGAAGCCACUAAGAUUUCUACGGCUAAGCAGCAACAAGCUAACGGGAUCAAGUCUAAGGGAGCUCACCAACCUCUCUAACCUCAAGGUUCUCAAAGUUUAAGGUAACCCUCUUUUAGUAGAUCUUGCUUCUGAUGGGUAUUUGGAAUAUGCAGAAAAGGUGUUCGAUAAAAUGGGUGUUAGAGCACUGGCAGCGGUCUCGCUAAAACAAAGAGAUCUCUAAAAUUUGAUGAAUCUCAGAUUUAAAACGUUGGUAUUGGAUUCGCUAAAGGCUGCAGCUUAAGGUCAUUUAAGGUUACAGAAUGCAAAAAACUAGGAAGACAUGUUUUGGACAAAUAUGUGGCUGGAUAGUCACUCUGAGAUCUGUAUUAAUUAUUUUGAACUUGCUAAAAUUAUUUGGGUACUGCUACUGAAGUGUAAAACUGCUACUGAAAUGUAUUGUUAUUUUCAUUUCAUGGUUUAUGAAUUGGUUUGUGGAGCUA